CACACACAGAGAAAGCGCCACCUUCCUCAAAGACAGGAAGUCCUUCAUUGUUGAAGGAACCAAAAUAAAAUGACUUGUGGUUUUCCCCAUAUCCUCUUGCGUUGUAAGUAAAGAGUUUCUCCAAACCCUAUUUAUUCCCCAUUCCUUGCAGAAAAAUGCUGGUACAUUUUUACCGCAGGAGGCACAGUCACCCCAGAGCCACACAGCAAUGGAUAUUUAAGAAUAAGACUCUCUGCAGGAGGAUCAAGGAGUAAUAAAAAGAGCAGAAUAUCUGCAGCUGCCAAGACCUCAGCUCUAAUUCUAGAUUUGCAGCCCAUGGCUGCACAAUAGGCACAAGAAUGAACCAAUAUCACCACCAAGGAAAGUGGCACAGCUGAGCUGUACCCACAUCUGACUCCAAGGGACCAACUUUUGACAGCUAUUCACAUCAUCUGCUUUCUUUCCCUCAUCUACCUCUGCUAAUGAGCGUAUAGGAGGUCAUCUAGCCUGUCAACACUCACUGGGGCGUCUGUCUCAUUUCUUCCACCAGAUGGUAAAUCAUGUUCAAUGAUCUCCCUCCUGCCAGUCAAUCCUGAGGCCUGGACGUACCCACAGAAGUGAGUUCUAUUGAUUGUGGUAAGCUAUUAAAAUAAAAUAUGCUUUCCUUGAAUGUGAUGCAGGUAAAUCCAGUCAGGAAACAACUGUUUAUGUAUUUAUGAGAUAGACCAAGAGUCCUGCAAAGUGGCAUGGUCAAAGUCGACACGUCAUUUCCUAGGGGAAAUCUUGCAUCAGAUUUCACCACACAUCUGUUUUAUAAACUCUGACAGCAUCUGACUUUUAUAGUACUGAUCAUAACUGCAUUAUCAAUUGGUUAUUGGCAUAAUUAUUCAUUGAAACUUUGCCUUAAUUACUGAAAUUUUUAUUAAACUCUUUUUACCUUGUUUGGCAUAUAGAAUAUGCCCCUUAUCAAAUAAAGGCAUGGAUGAGAUUAUCUAUAUAAUAGGUGAUGUACUAAGCAAACCAGCUCUCAAAAUACACACACACUUAUUAAUGGUGUUUGCCAAUUCCCAUGGUGUAAAUUCUCCCACUAUGUUCAUUUCGAGCUACAAAUGGUUGGACAGAUGGCUCACACAAUUCCUGGAUGUUUCAUGGUUAGCUCCUAAAAGUCAGAAUGAGCCCAUUCCAGAGCACUGCUCAUGCAUAAAGGUGUGAGGAUGCCCUUGCUCAAUUUCAACAACCUUUCUCAAAAACAGAGUACACUUAGUAAUCUAGACUUGGGAAGAUUCUUCUUAAAGGCGAUGAACAUUUUCUUUUGGCUACAGGUUGCACAUUUUCUUCAACACAGAAGUCCUUGUUGUUUUAUUUUUUAGACAAUCUGCUAAAAUCAGAACCAGAGUUCUGAGCAUUACCUACAAAAGACUGUCCUAGGGACAUUUUUCUUCUCUAAGAAUCAGAAACAUUGCCAACCACAACUUUGGAAAGUGGCAAGUAGAAUAAAACAAGAAAAAGAAGCCAGAGAUAUAACUAUGGGAAGAGAGGGAAAGCUAUAUUUUUUCACAGGCAAUAUGACCAAUUAAGUAGUUCAGCCUAAAAAGAUGCAAAUAAACAAGACCUUCCCAAGAAAGUUUAGCAAAAGCGUUCAAGGCUUCUACAAAGAUGCUGAAAACCUGGAAACAUAUAUGUCCUUGCAUGGGAAAACACAAUGUUAUAAAGAAUACAUACGAAAAAUUUGAUUCAUCUUUUAGAAGAAAUCCAAUUAAAAUCUCAAUGAUUUUUGGUGAUAAAUAUUUAGUAAAUGAAAUUUAUUUAUAGACAAAAAUUAGUGUGAACACAUAUAACAAUAUGGAAAACAUAAGAAAGCAUGGGUUUUCACACUAAAAUAUGUUGUAAGACACCCUACAAUAAAGCAGAAAACAGAAACUCACAUGGGUAUUUAAUGUGAGUGACAUUUAUGGUCACUGAGGAAAUAAUAAAUUACUUACUACAUGGUGUGAUAUGGUUUGGCUGUGUCCCCACCUAAAUCUCAUCUUGAAUUGCAGUUCCCAUAAUCCCCACAUAUCAUGGGAAGGACCCAGUGGCAGGUAACUGAAUCAUUGGGGGUGAUAGUCUUAUAAGGAGUUUUUCCCCCUUUGCUCAGCUCUCAUUGUCUCUCCUCCCGCCCUGUGAAGAUGUGCCUUCCACCAUGAUUGUAAGUUUCCUGAGACCUUCCCAGCCAUGCAGAACUGUGAGUCAAUUAAACCUCUUUUCUUUAUAAAUUAUCCAGUCUUGGGUAUUUCUUCAUAGCAGCAUGAGAACAAAUUAAUACAUGAUGUUAGAAUAAUUGGUUUAAUAUUCAGGUAAAACAAAGUUAGAUCUUGAUUUCACACCAUAUACUCCA